AAAACAUUUCCUUUCUCUGCCCCAUCAUUGCCAAAAUGUCCUUUGCUAAUUUUCUGUUUAUUUUAAUGCUCCUGCCUUCUUCUCUGCAAGCCUUUUCCAAUGUAAACCCAUCACCGUCAACCCAACAAACAUUCAACACACAAGAUUUGAUCAUGCAAACUUGCACCGGUGUCGAAAACCAGGAUUCAUGCCUGUGGAACAUGCAAUCUGAGCUCCAAAAAACAGGUUCCUCUAAUGCAGCUUCAGUUCUGAGUGCUGCCCUUCAGAAUUCAGUCAAUGAAGCAAGGUUAGCCAUUGAUAUGAUCACAAAAUUCAAUUCUUUGUCUAUCAGCUACCGCGAACAAGUAGCCAUUGAAGAUUGCAAAGAACUUCUCGAUUUCUCAGUCUCCGAGCUGGCUUGGUCGUUGGCAGAGAUGGGGAAAAUUCGAGCAGGCGACAAGAAUGUUCGCUAUGAAGGGAAUCUAAAAGCAUGGCUCAGUGCUGCACUGAGUAACCAAGACACAUGCCUUGAAGGCUUUGAAGGCACAGACCGACAUCUGGAGAACUUCGUGAAAGGAAGCCUGAAACAAGUGACGCAGCUAAUUGGCAAUGUAUUAGCUCUAUAUACCCAACUCCACAGCAUGCCCUUUAAACCAUCACGAAAUGGUACGACCACAAAUUCAAGUCCCGAGUUCCCUGAGUGGAUGACAGAAGGUGAUCAAGAGCUCCUAAAGUUCAGUUCUCUUGGUGUGCAUGUAGAUGCCAUUGUGUCCUUGGACGGGAGUGGCCAUUACCGUACCAUUACAGAGGCACUUAAUGAAGCUCCAAGUUACAGCAACAGGAGGUACAUCAUAUAUGUGAAGCAGGGAGUUUACAGAGAGAACAUUGACAUGAAGAAGAAGAAAACCAAUAUUAUGCUAGUAGGGGACGGUAUUGGGAAAACUGUGGUGACGGGUAAUCGCAAUUUCAUGCAAGGAUGGACUACAUUUAGAACGGCCACUGUGGCUGUCUCUGGGAAAGGAUUCAUAGCAAGAGAUAUGACAUUUCGUAAUACGGCCGGACCAAAGAACCAUCAAGCAGUGGCUCUCCGGGUGGAUUCCGACCAAUCAGCCUUCUACCGGUGCAGCAUGGAAGGCUACCAAGACACCCUCUACGCUCACUCUCUACGCCAAUUCUACCGUGAAUGUGAUAUUUAUGGAACCAUAGAUUACAUAUUUGGCAAUGGUGCAGCAGUGUUCCAAAAAUGCAAGAUAUACACAAGAGUCCCACUGCCCUUGCAAAAGGUCACAAUAACAGCCCAAGGCAGGAAAAACCCACAUCAAAGCACUGGAUUUUCAAUCCAAGAUAGCUACAUUUUUGCCACACAACCUACCUAUUUAGGAAGGCCCUGGAAGCAAUUUUCUAGGACAGUUUUCAUGAAUACGUAUGUGGGUGGUUUGGUUCAGCCUAGAGGGUGGCUUGAAUGGUAUGGUAACUUUGCCUUGAGCACAUUGUGGUACGGUGAGUAUAGGAACUAUGGGCCUGGGGCAUCCCUAUCAGGCCGGAUCAAAUGGCCGGGAUACCACAUUAUCCGCGAUGCUGCCACGGCCAAGUUCUUUACUGCAGGUGAAUUCAUCGACGGUAUGUCGUGGCUUCCAUCAACCGGCGUAAAGUUCACGGCUGGUUUGAGCAAUUAAUUAUAUGUACUAAUUGUAUAGUGUUAUAAGCCAAACCCAGCAACUGGAGGAUGCAAUUUGGGCCUUGAUUCAUAUGUAUAAUUUUACUGUAAUAUAACAAAUAGAGCUAGUUGAUAUUUGUUUGAACUUUGGUAAGAUAUCUCUUGUGUCUAGUUUAAUGAAAUCUACUUAUUGAAA
rnacentral:misc_RNA from 1 species